rnacentral:rRNA from 1 species
UACGAAGGGGGCUAGCGUUGCUCGGAAUCACUGGGCGUAAAGGGUGCGUAGGCGGGUCUUUAAGUCGGGGGUGAAAUCCUGGAGCUCAACUCCAGAACUGCCUUUGAUACUGAGGAUCUUGAGUACGGGAGAGGUGAGUGGAACUGCGAGUGUAGAGGUGAAAUUCGUAGAUAUUCGCAAGAACACCAGUGGCGAAGGCGGCUCACUGGCCCGUAACUGACGCUGAGGCACGAAAGCGUGGGGAGCAAACAGG